UUGUGGAGGAGGACGCCGAAGGUGGGGCUAAUGACUGGGGUGAAGUCGUAACAAGGUAGCCGUACCGGAAGGUGCGGCUGGAUCACCUCCUAACAGGGAGACAACAAAAUGUUUAAUAUUAUUAUUUUGUCACCUUAGGUCGAUCGGUAUCUCACAUUCUUAAUUUAUUAAGGAUUUUAUUUCCUAAGUUUUUUCUAGGUCACACCCAUACUUUUCCUGGGCCAUUAGCUCAGGUGGUUAGAGCGCACCCCUGAUAAGGGUGAGGUCCCUGGUUCAAGUCCAGGAUGGCCCAUAUCUCUAUGUUGGGGGUAUAGCUCAGUUGGUAGAGCGCCUGCUUUGCAAGCAGGAUGUCAGCGGUUCGAGUCCGCUUACCUCCACUGAUUACCACCUCUUCCAUAUCGUGAAAGGAAUUGUUUUAGAUGUGACAUUUCUGGACGAAUCUAGCUUCCUAAUACUUAAAAGAAUUAUUAAGAUGCUGGACUCACUGAAUUUUAUUCAUUGUUUUCAGAGAACCUUGACAACUGCAUAGAUUAUUUUUAAAGACAAUAAGCAUCUUUAAUGAUGCAGAUUUAUUAUUUUUGCUAUUGCAUUAAUAACAAUUCUAUUGAGCUGAUGCUUCAAUUUUUGAAGUUAUUGGUCAAGCUACAA
rnacentral:misc_RNA from 1 species